UACGAAGGGGACUAGCGUUGUUCGGAAUCACUGGGCGUAAAGCGCACGUAGGCGGAUGUGUCAGUCAGGGGUGAAAUCCCGGGGCUCAACCUCGGAACUGCCUUUGAUACAGCACGUCUCGAGUCCGGAAGAGGUGAGUGGAACUCCGAGUGUAGAGGUGAAAUUCGUAGAUAUUCGGAAGAACACCAGUGGCGAAGGCGGCUCACUGGUCCGGUACUGACGCUGAGGUGCGAAAGCGUGGGGAGCGAACAGG
rnacentral:rRNA from 1 species